UAGACCAACUACGUCUGUCAGGAAGUGCAGGUUGUGUGGGAGCCUACAAGGAUAGUGACAUCAGAACAGUGACAUCACCAAGUCUUCCAGUCAGAGCAAAGUGAUACUCAAAGCCUCUGCUCUCUCACCCCAAACACCAGAGCCCAGAGUGGGAAAAUGGCCAGUCUUGUCCUGCCUGAAUCUUCCAGUGGCCCCUGGCUCCUCUGCUGCGUGGCCCUCUGUCUCCUGGGGGCAGGUUCUGUGGCUGCUGGAGUCACUCAGUCCCCAAGACACCUAAUCAAAAGGCAUGAGGGGAAGGCUGUUCUGAAGUGCCAUCCUAUCUCCGGACACAAUACUGUAUACUGGUAUCAGCAGGCUCUGGGACAGGGCCCCGAGUUCCUCAUUAGUUAUUACAAAACGGAGGAGAGACAGAAAGGAAACAUCCCUGAUCGGUUCUCAGGAAAACAGUUUGAUAACUACAGCUCUGAGCUGGCCAUGAGCACCUUGCAGCUGGGAGACUCCGCUGUGUAUCUCUGUGCCAGCAGCUUAGACACAGCCCUGCAGGGUCAAUGGCUUUCUGUACUCAAACCUCCUUGUCCCAGAUGAGGAUGUCACAGGAAGGGAAGGGGUCUUAGCUUAUUCCAGGGCUUCUAGUUCUUUUCUAAGACUCUCCCUGCCCUACUGAGCUCAGCCAGAGCUUUCCUGAGUGUCCUCCCAGCUCUGCCAGCACCUGGAAAUUCCUAGCACAUGACAGGAACUCCUACUGUGAUAAAGUGGGGUCAGACAACAUGUAUCUGUCCUGUCCUAGUUCACAUAGAGGAAGGCCAUGAUGUCCCCUAAUGGAAGAGCUAAGUGAUUAGGGUGAUUUCCAGACUAGCAGAAGAUUCACCAAGGAAACAGAAGCCUUCCAGGAAUUUUGGGCAGGAUUCUGGGAGUUAUUACAGGAAUCAGUGUUUCUAAACCAAUGGAGGUUAUGAAGGAGGGAGGGUCUCACCUUGUCCCCAGGUCCCACUUUCCAUCAGAACAUCUGAAAUCGCUACUUCUGCCCAGGUCAGGAACUGCAGAAAACAGCUGAGCAUCAUAGCUAUUAAAUGAAUGGUGUAGACAUUUACAGACUGAGUAAAAAUUUAUUGGUGAAUGCAGAAACGACUUCUACACUUUUUGUACAUUUAACCCAAUCACCUUUUUUAUUGCACAUUUUCUGUGAGGUAGCACAAGUCACCCACAUUACAAGUGAAAACACUGAUUGUUAGAGAGUUUGGAUACUUGGGUAAAGAAGAUGCAGCUAACAAAUAUCAGAAUUGGGACACAGACAUAGGCCAUACUGACUUCCAUUGACGCUUUCAAUCACCCCACUCUUCUGCAUUUGGUAGAGAGAGGCAUCUUCAAAAUGAGAACAUGGACCCAAAAGUCCCUUUCAGAAAUGCAGACUCUAACACAAAUUAUUUGCAUAACAGCUUUCACUUGGGAGGGGACCUGCUGAAGAGGAAAGAGACACAGCUUCCCAGACCUGUUUGUUCAUCUGACCAGCCUUGGGAUGGUGACUCAGAAAAUAUUUGUCUGAGUUUUUGCAUUUGUAACCAGGGGGCAAUAAUAAAUGUCUUGCAGAGAUUUUGCACAAGCAAAAUUAUUUAAUAAAAAAUAUA